rnacentral:tRNA from 1 species
AUUUAUAUAAUAUAAAAAGUAUAUUUGAUUUCCAAUCAAAAAGUCUAUUUUAAUUUAGUAUAAAUA